UACGGAGGGGGCUAGCGUUGUUCGGAAUUACUGGGCGUAAAGCGUACGUAGGCGGCUUUGUAAGUUAGAGGUGAAAGCCCGGGGCUCAACUCCGAAUUGCCUUUAAGACUGCAUCGCUUGAAUCAUGGAGAGGUGAGUGGAAUUCCGAGUGUAGAGGUGAAAUUCGUAGAUAUUCGGAAGAACACCAGUGGCGAAGGCGACUCACUGGACAUGUAUUGACGCUGAGGUACGAAAGCGUGGGGAGCAAACAGG
rnacentral:rRNA from 1 species